rnacentral:misc_RNA from 1 species
AUGUUGGAAUAUUAAGAUGCUAUUUAGCAGGGAAGUUCCUCACCAAACUAAUUCAACAAUGGGACGAAGACAGGUUUGGGACAGAUUCAAGCCCUUACCUUCACAAGAGUAUUUAUUUUUACCAUUUUGAGUUCAUUGGAUGAAAAUCAAGUGCUUAAAUUCAAAAGCAGCAAUAAUUCACAAUCAUCAUUAUGAUAACAUGCAACUUUCUAAAUUAGGGUGAUGACAAAGUGUCCAAAACCCGAAUUUUAAGCAAACCUAAAAAGGGAUUUAGCUGAUCUGUCCCUUGUAUUUGUACAAAUGGGUUCCAUAGUUGAGGCAUUGCAAAUUCGAAAUAGGAAAUUUAGUGCAAAUUACUAAC